UAGAUUGUGCAACUUUUUAUAUACCUUAGAGACUGUUGGGCUUUAUCUCAUUAAUUACUUAAAAAACAUGGCAUACUAUAUAUGUUGGCAGCUGAAAUGAUUUCAAAAAAGAAAUGCAUGUUGUGUUACCCUGCUCUUCAGAAUGAGUAAUCUAGUAAUGGAAAAAUUAUUGGGGGAAAUGUUGGUCUCUCUCAGAUGUCCAGGAGGCUAGAGGAGUUGAGAGUGUUAGAACAUCUGAUGUGUGGAGCAUCUCAGAGAGAAUCAGGGAUAAAGGUUCCAGCUUCUGAAAUGCUUGUCUCCUGCUAUUUAAAUCCUUGUUUCCUAGUAAACAUGGUUCCUUAUCAAGACUGAGCUACAAACAGACUUGUAGAUGCAGUGUGAUUCUCCUUGAAUUCUUAGAUGGGAUCUAAGAUCCCUGUAGAUUACGUUUGGCAUUAGUGGUAAAGGAAGUUUAUGCUUCAGCUUUCCUACCACCAACAAUCAGUUAGGAGAGUGAGGCCCUACCAUGUAAAAGAAAACUUUAAAAUGCCUAGAGUAUGUGAUUUAGCUCUUAAAAUCAAGGCAAAGGUAGACUAGCAUAGUCAUAGAUUUAUCUAAGUGGGCCCUCAUUAAGACUUCCUACUGUAAAUAGCCACUUUUUAAAUAAAGAAUGCCUAUUUGGUUCAGGUCUGCAUUGUUGUAGGAGUAGAGACACCAGGAUCCCUUGGCAAGGACCUACCUCACUCUAAAAGAAACCCAGAUUAGAAUUCCAAGGUACAAACAACCUCAUACUUCAUGCAGUUGAGUGAUCCUGUUCCCCUUGUAGAAUCUAGAGUACCUUUGAGCUGAGAAUAAUUUUUGAUUUCUAAAUUAUUUGGUUUUUUUUUUUUUUAAGUGAAUGAUAUGCAACAGAAACUAUAUGGCCUUAAGAAACUAGAAUAUUUGAGCAGGGCACCAAAGUAAAAAUCUCUGGGUGGAGGGUGAGGAUAGAUGUUCAGCUUCACUGGUGGGGUUGGGGGGAGGAUAACGACAACAGCACAGACCUUUGGUAGUAAGGAUGGUGUUAAUACACACUCCUAUUACCUUAUAGUCUCACAAAUCACUUUAAUUAAUAUUAGAGGGGUGAAAUGGUUCAAAUGUCUCAAACCUUUUGAUGCACAGACCAUAGCUCUUUUUAAAACUUUUUUUAUUAUCUUUAUAUAUUGGAUAGAGACAGCCAGAAAUCAAGAGGGAAGGGGGUGAUAGAGAGGAAGAGAGACAGAGAGACACCUGCAACCCUGCUUCACCACUCAUGAAGCUUUCCCUCUGCGGAUCGGGGGCUCGAACCUUGCGCAUUGUAAUACGUGUGCUUAACCAGGUGCACCACCACCCGGCCCCCAGAUCAUAGCUCUUAAGUAUAUGUUCCUUCAGUCUAAGCACUUAAAACUUCAAAUUGAUAAUCAGAUUGAAUUUUAACAGCGGGCUCAAAUUGCUAAUACAUUUCUAAUGACAUGUUCUUUGAAAUAUUACAUCUUCUAAAGGCUUAGACAAGGGCGAACAGAAACAACUGAUGAUGUCACUUUAUAAAAUGCAGCUAUAUGUAAAUAGCAUAAAAGGACAUAAAUUAUGGUGAGGUCUUGUAUGAUACAGCAAAUGCUAACUAAGGGAUUUUCAAAGUUAACCCAAUUGCUAGAUAAUGUGGUUAUAGCAAUAACUAUCUACUGCAUUCUUAAACCAUUAGACAGCAGGAACCUUCCCCUUUCUUAUAAAGCCCAUAUUUCUCCCAGGCCUGGACCUAGGGUGGGGCUCACUUUUCUGCAUGCUUCUCUCAAUUCAUACCAACUGAUACUGCAUCUGCUGAUCCCAACCUAAUCAAUGCAACCAGCACGACUUCAGUAUGACAUCAGGAGUGAAAUGUCAGCCCUUCAGCUUCAUUACUCUGGUGAGACCUUUCCUAUCUAAUAGGACUCCUUAAUUUCAUUUCAGGUGGUGCACUUCUUAACAAAACCUCAAAACCUAGCUAUAGGCCAGGGCCCAUGAGAUAGGGCAUAUGUACAUGUAUCUGUAAGCUGGGGAAAAAUAUAUACCUUAUAAAGCAAAAGUGCACAAUAGUGAGAGUUGGGCAGUAGCACAGUGGGUUAAGUGCACGUGGCACAAAGUGCAAGGACCUAAGGAAGGAUCCUGGUUCGAGCCCCCGGCUCCCCACCCCCGCAGGGGAGUCACUUCACAAGCGGUGAAGCAGGUCUGUAGGUGUCUGUCUUUCUCUCCCCCUCUCUGUCUUCCCCUCCUCUCUCCAUUUCUCUCUGUCCUAUCCAACAACAACAAUAAUAACUACAACAGUAAAGCAACAAGAGCAACAAAGGAAUAAACAAAUAUUUUUAAAAAAAUUUUUUAAGUGCACAGUAGUUUGCCGUGAGUCAAAAAAUACAGCAAACAAGUAGAAAGACUUAAAAUGACACCUUAAAGUUCCUAAUGAAACAGUUUCUCCUUAGACCUAGAUACCCUUCUCACCUACCUCCUAUUAGAGAUCCCUCAAUCACUCCAAAGCUAACCUUGUUAAACAAAGUAAGGACUACAAAAGCUGAAUAAGGGCAAGAGACCAUCAUACUUUAAAGAUGACUCUUUAGUCACUAUCGGCACCCUAUCACCUGGGGCCCUAGUCAGGGAGUCCCGAGAUUCUCACACAGACAUGAUGGGCCUAGAUCUCUAACAGAUCCCUCUCGCCACUGUCACUAGUCAUCUUCAUCAGGAACAACAUAAUGGGCCCCUUUGUGGGCCCCUAUAGUACCUUGCCUUCUGUGUGGGUCAACAAUGGUAGGGAAUGUUCCAUUCUCCGAAGGGAGGCUGGACAACAUACUCUACCUACUACCCGAGGAAGAUGGGUCUGGAAAUUAGUGCAGCCUGGUAUUUUCCUAGCCAUGACCACAGAAUACAAGCUCAGACCUACAGAGAUGCAGAGGUUACAUAGGCUCCUGUGCAGGUCAGAUCAAUGGGGUUUACAGUUAACAAUAUUUAUAUACUUUCCUACUCUCUUCCCUGAUCCAGCUUUCUAGUCCUUUUUCCAACUAUGACACCAUUUCCCCAGACAAUAACCUGGGAUCCACUAGCAUAUUAGCCUUCUGGCUCAGACAAAAACUAGUAAAGUCAUGGGCUCCUUAGAAUAUACCUAAAAUAGACCUACUAGCUUUUUCUAAAAUGGAGACCCCAAAGCUUUAUCUGCAAUAUUGUUGCCUUUAGGUUCAUAAUUAGUCAACAAUUUGCUCUGCUUUAUAUCUUAACUCUUUUUCAGCCACCAGGUUCUAGAUGAUCCCAUGAUGCCAACCUGACUUCCCUGGGCAGAUGACCCCACCAUGUGUCCUGGAGCCCCACCUCCCCAGAUCCCUGCCUCACUAGGGAAAGAGAGAGACAAGCUGGGAAUAUGGAUCGACCUGCCAAUGCCCAUAUUCAGUGGGGAAGCAAUUACAGAACCUUCCACCUUCUGCACCCCAUAAUGAUCCUGGGUCCAUGCUCCUAGAGGGAUAAAGUAUAGGGAAGUUAUUAAGGAACUGCAUUGGAUAUGGAGUUCUGGUGGUAGGAAUUGUGUGGAAUUGUACCUCUCUUAUCCUAUAGUCUUGUCAGUAUUUCCAUUUUAUAAAUAAAAAUUUAAAAGAAGUAAAAUUUAAAAAACUAGAAUAUUUUACCUAAAAGCACCUUUCCAAAGAUGUUUACUAACUCCUGUGGGAGCAGUUUUAUUCUAGAAAGGAUGUAGGGGUACCUCGGAGAUGUAUAAUGAGGUUUAGUUUCAGACCAAGAUAAAGAUACUGGCACAGUAAAAUGAAUCACACCAUUAGUUGUUUCCCACUGCACAUAAAAGUUAUGUUUGCAUUAUACUGUAACUACUAUAGUCUUUUAAGUGCAAUUACAGUGUAUCUUUAAAAAAAAAGAUUAUUACAGAUAACAGGAAGUGACCACAUGCUUUUGAGAAAAGAGCAAUAAACUUGUUCAAAGCAGAGUUGCCACAAGCCUUCCCUAUGUAGAAAAUGAAAUAUUUUCGGGAUGCAAAAAUACAAGAUAUGCCUGUGUAGAGGAAGUAUCAUCUUCUGAAUUGAAGGAGUUGUUAUUGAUAGAUACAAAAUAGGUAAGGAAAAUGACUUCAAACUUAAAAAAAUAUGUGAUAUUUAUGUAGCAGAAUUUCACUUUUUAUCUUUUCAAGAUCAGCUUUCUAAUAAAUAUGGAAAAAAUUACCCCCUUUAAAAUAUUUUUUGUUUUACUUUAAUGAGAAAGGUAAGAGGAAGAAAGAUAUACAGAGAGAGAGAAAGGGAGAGACAGCAGAAUAUUUCUCAGUUCUGCCUGAACUGAGAAUGCUGGGGAAUGCUGGGGAAUUGAACCUGGGAUUUAGAGCCUCAGGAAUGAGUCUUUCUGAAUAACCAUUAAGCUAUCUCUAUUGGUCCCCUCCCACUCCCCUCCCCGCACCCACCAGUGCUGUGCAGGAGUUUCACUGUUGUCAGGCUAUAGUCAUGAGGUCUUGGUUAGGGGCUCACAGCUCUGCUCAGGUGUCCCCCCUCUCUGGGAUGAAGGCAGGCUGGCUGAGAAGCAGCAAGGGGUAAGCAGUCUUCUGAGUAGUAGUGAUGAUUCAGGAAAAGAACCUGUAUCAGAUAAGCACUGGCCAAAAAGGCAGUCAUCUCUGAAUACUGGUAAUACAAAACAAGAGAAAUUGGACUGUUGGGAGCCAGCUAAAAGCCAUCCAGGACAAAGACUUUAUUAAAUCUUGGUAGAUGCUCUGCUACGGUAAUGCUGCUGCUCCCUCGCCAAGGGACAUUCCCUGACUUUACGAUCCAUUUAAGGACACGUUAAUAUAAAUUGCAAAUAACUGAUUUCUACCAGUGUUUGGUUGUUUCGCUUCUACACAUCUUCAUCCCUAAAUUGCUUUAGGCAACACUUUCCAACUUGUGGGUAAACUAAGGAAACUGACCACUACCUAUUGUUCACACAUGUGCACUCAGACCGCCAUGCUCUUGAUUAAUGGAUAUUUAAACUCAGGCCUACACAGAGCUGUUUUUCUGGUAAGAAGAACGCUUCACUUAGAAACUUUAUAAAAGGAAAAUGUGUUUUCCAAACUUCAAAAUUCAGCUUUAGAUGUGAUGAUGUGUAAUGAAGUAAAACCUGCCUAUAAAUUAUUUUGCUACCUAUUUCUCUUUUAGUGUUUUCUGUUUUGCAGUGUUGAUUUUUUCCUUUCGGUUAUAAGUGGUGUGACUAACCAAGGAGAGUGUUCUGUAGCUAAGAUUAUAUUUUACAGUUAGAAAUGACAAACUGUGGGAGCACAUGUAAAUUUUUUUUUUAAUUUAUUUAUAUUAUGUUUUCUCUCUGAGAUAAAACCCAUUACCUUUGGGGGAGUUGAUGUGCUGUCAUUUCACUUCCUAUGCUUGGCCACCCCAAGUUGUCACAGUUGGACACGGGUUGAGAAUCAAUAAAAUUAAUUUACUAGCUGA